rnacentral:rRNA from 1 species
CAGUAGCCGCGGUAAUACGUAGGGUGCGAACGUUAAUCGGAAUUACUGGGCGUAAAGCGUGCGCAGGCGGUUGUGUAAGACAGGUGUGAAAUCCCCGGGCUUAACCUGGGAACUGCGCUUGUGACUGCACAGCUAGAGUAUGGCAGAGGGGGGUGGAAUUCCACGUGUAGCAGUGAAAUGCGUAGAGAUGUGGAGGAACACCGAUGGCGAAGGCAGCCCCCUGGGCCAAUACUGACGCUCAUGCACGAAAGCGUGGGGAGCAAACAGGAUUAGAGACCCCUGUAGUCCCUGUCUCUUAUAC